GGAGGAGGCCCUCUCCUGGCUUGUAAUAAUUAACCAAUCCCGCCAGGGGUAGCUGUGUAUAAAAGAGGGCCAUUCUCACUGGUGCAGCCUCUGCCGCUGAGUCUGGAGUAGACCCCGCCCCUGGGCUUUCUCACUUCCUGGUGUGAGCCGUGCGAGCUGUGCUUACCUGUUGGGCUGCGUUUGGGGAUCAAUUCCCCCUUCAUCUGGGUGUCAACUUGCUGCUAGAUGAGUGGCUGUAGGGAGGUCGCAGACUCCCCACCUCUUCUACUGGGCGUGUCAGUUAAAUGUUUGUUUGCCAGGAGCGGCUAAUCUGCCGUGGAGCCCGCCAGCUGUUUUGUCCUUCCGUGUGGCUUCGAAGUCCAGUGUUGGCACCCAUAAAUACGCCUGGACGGCCUCUGCUCC